UACAGAGGUCUCAAGCGUUGUUCGGAUUCAUUGGGCGUAAAGGGUGCGUAGGUGGCGCCGUAAGUCAGGUGUGAAAUCUCGGGGCUUAACUCCGAAACUGCAUUUGAUACUGCGGUGCUUGAGGACUGGAGAGGAGACUGGAAUUUACGGUGUAGCAGUGAAAUGCGUAGAUAUCGUAAGGAAGACCAGUGGCGAAGGCGGGUCUCUGGACAGUUCCUGACACUGAGGCACGAAGGCCAGGGGAGCAAACGGG
rnacentral:rRNA from 1 species